CCCUGUCUACUAUCCAGCGA
rnacentral:snRNA from 1 species